CGUUAUCAAAAUUAUUUUAAUAUUAAUGCUUUUUUUGUAUAAAAAACUUUUUAUCGACAUUUAACUGUUUAGUUAGCAUAUAAUAGUAUAAGCAACUAGAUUCAACUGCAAAGUGUAGAUAUAAUCUAAAGGCACACACUGUAUGGUCAUUUAACAUUAAUUUUGCGUAUAACUGAUAACUUUAAUAGUUAUAGUUGAUUUUAAAGGCAAGAAAAAAUGCAUAACUAAUAACAUUAAGAUUAAAAUUUCCUUAUAUUGUAUCUACGAGAAUAUUUUUGUUUCUGACUGGUCUCAGCCAAUUACAGGUGGUUUUCCGUUUAGACUUAACUCUCUAAGUUAGACAGAGGGUCAUAGAGUUCUCAGUAAUUUUAAACUGCAUUUUGGAACUAUGAAUUCGUUUAAAAAAUCAGUACAUGAUUAGUCGUCUCAGAGCGGAAAAAAGCGGGAAAACGUUUGUGUAAAGGAAAAACAAAUCUGGAGAUGAUUCUAAAAAAUUGCAGUGGAGAUUAAAAACCAAUUUUAGUUUUCAAUAUUCUUUUCAAUAUUCUUAUUAAAAAUUUUUGUGAAGAAACAAACGUAAUUUAUUUAAAUAAAUUUCUAGAAAAAUUGGUAAAUUCGGCAAAUUUAAGCUUCUAAGGGAAUUUUUUUCUUUUCUGUUUUUAAAGCGUAAGAAAUUGGUUAAUGAAUACUCUCUGUGUUACCUAAUUUGAUUAAGUUAACAAUUACUAAAAAUGAACUGUUUUAGGAAGCAAUUUAAACUAGUAUCUUACAUGUGUAGUUAUGUUUCAAAAUGACGUUACUUAAUUACUGUCUAAAACUUUAUAAUUUCAGUAGCUAUUCCUGUUCAUCACACACUAAGGUUUUUGCAGGGCGAGAAUUUCGUAAUAUAAAAAGAAAAUUAAUUUAUA